GGAUGUGAGGGCAAUCUGACUGUGACAUCUGUCACCCAUUGAUCACCAGGGUUGAUUCAAUUAAUCUGGCUGGCUAUGUGGGUGUCCCUUCUUCCCUACUGCUCCAUAUGUGUCCCUUCCAAAGCUGUGCAAUCAGUCGAAGAGGACAACCUUGCCAAUAGAGGAGGACCAUUCUUCAGUCAAGGGUAUACAAGUAGCUGCACUCCCCUUCUAGAACCUCGCCAAAACCUCUCAAGGUACAUUAUUCCUCAAUUGUUUGUUUGUUUGUUGAUUAGUGCUGGGGUCUCACUUUGUUGCCCAUACUGGAGUACAGUGGCAUGAUCAUGGUUCACUGUGGUU
rnacentral:snRNA from 1 species